rnacentral:rRNA from 1 species
GGAGCUUGCUCCUGGGUGAGAGUGGCGAACGGGUGAGUAAUGCGUGACCGACCUGCCCCAUACACCGGAAUAGCUCCUGGAAACGGGUGGUAAUGCCGGAUGCUCCAGUUGACCGCAUGGUCCUCUGGGAAAGAUUCAUCGGUAUGGGAUGGGGUCGCGUCCUAUCAGCUUGAUGGCGGGGUAACGGCCCACCAUGGCUUCGACGGGUAGCCGGCCUGAGAGGGCGACCGGCCACAUUGGGACUGAGAUACGGCCCAGACUCCUACGGGAGGCAGCAGUGGGGAAUAUUGCACAAUGGGCGCAAGCCUGAUGCAGCGACGCCGCGUGCGGGAUGACGGCCUUCGGGUUGUAAACCGCUUUUGACUGGGAGCAAGCCCUUCGGGGUGAGUGUACCUUUCGAAUAAGCACCGGCUAACUACGUGCCAGCAGCCGCGGUAAUACGUAGGGUGCAAGCGUUAUCCGGAAUUAUUGGGCGUAAAGGGCUCGUAGGCGGUUCGUCGCGUCCGGUGUGAAAGUCCAUCGCUUAACGGUGGAUCCGCGCCGGGUACGGGCGGGCUUGAGUGCGGUAGGGGAGACUGGAAUUCCCGGUGUAACGGUGGAAUGUGUAGAUAUCGGGAAGAACACCAAUGGCGAAGGCAGGUCUCUGGGCCGUCACUGACGCUGAGGAGCGAAAGCGUGGGGAGCGAACAGGAUUAGAUACCCUGGUAGUCCACGCCGUAAACGGUGGAUGCUGGAUGUGGGGACCAUUCCACGGUCUCCGUGUCGGAGCCAACGCGUUAAGCAUCCCGCCUGGGGAGUACGGCCGCAAGGCUAAAACUCAAAGAAAUUGACGGGGGCCCGCACAAGCGGCGGAGCAUGCGGAUUAAUUCGAUGCAACGCGAAGAACCUUACCUGGGCUUGACAUGUUCCCGACAGCCGUAGAGAUACGGUCUCCCUUCGG